GUCGGGUAAGUUCCGACCUGCACGAAUGGCGUAAUGAUGGCCAGGCUGUCUCCACCCGAGACUCAGUGAAAUUGAACUCGCUGUGAAGAUGCAGUGUACCCGCGGCAAGACGGAAAGACCCCGUGAACCUUUACUAUAGCUUGACACUGAACAUUGAGCCUUGAUGUGUAGGAUAGGUGGGAGGCUUUGAAGUGUGGACGCCAGUCUGCAUGGAGCCGACCUUGAAAUACCACCCUUUAAUGUUUGAUGUUCUAACGUUGACCCGUAAUCCGGGUUGCGGACAGUGUCUGGUGGGUAGUUUGACUGGGGCGGUCUCCUCCUAAAGAGUAACGGAGGAGCACGAAGGUUGGCUAAUCCUGGUCGGACAUCAGGAGGUUAGUGCAAUGGCAUAAGCCAGCUUGACUGCGAGCGUGACGGCGCGAGCAGGUGCGAAAGCAGGUCAUAGUGAUCCGGUGGUUCUGAAUGGAAGGGCCAUCGCUCAACGGAUAAAAGGUACUCCGGGGAUAACAGGCUGAUACCGCCCAAGAGUUCAUAUCGACGGCGGUGUUUGGCACCUCGAUGUCGGCUCAUCACAUCCUGGGGCUGAAGUAGGUCCCAAGGGUAUGGCUGUUCGCCAUUUAAAGUGGUACGCGAGCUGGGUUUAGAACGUCGUGAGACAGUUCGGUCCCUA
rnacentral:rRNA from 1 species